rnacentral:lncRNA from 1 species
AUCUCUGACGGAUAUAAAUUUUUCUCAAUGUAUACCGACACACAUCCAUAAUAUUCAAACAAUCCAAUCAUUUCCUUCAAUGAUUCAUCAUCUAUUAUUUCGUGAGCUAUAUAUUCAUUCGCUCCCGUAGAGUAUCAAAUUGUGAAUUUGAGACGAAAUUCUUUUCUACUACAAUUUGCUAAACGAUACAUUCUCGUCUCAAAAUUAGUAAAUAUCGCAUCUGAACGAAUCGCAAUCAAUUUCUUUCGACCGCUGACAU